rnacentral:rRNA from 1 species
GCUUGUCUCAAAGAUUAAGCCAUGCAUGUCUAAGUAUAAGUAUUAUACAGCGAAACUGCGAAUGGCUCAUUAAAACAGUUAUGGUUUAUUUGAUAAUCGAAUUUUACAUGGAUAACCGUGGUAAUUCUAGAGCUAAUACAUGCUGGUGUGCCUGACUUUUCGGAAGGGCGGUAUUUAUUAGAUAACAGACCAAUAUUCCUCGUGUCUAUUGUGGUGAAUCAUAGUAACUAAUCGGAUCGCAUGGGCUAGUCCCGCGACAAACCAUUCAAGUUUCUGCCCCAUCAGCUUUCGAUGGUAGUGUAUUGGACUACCAUGGCUUUUACGGGUAACGGAGGAUUAGGGUUCGAUUCCGGAGAGGGAGCCUGAGAAACGGCUACCACAUCUAAGGAAGGCAGCAGG